UGUUUGAUGUUCUAACGUGGACCCGUAAUCCGGGUUGCGGACAGUGUCUGGUGGGUAGUUUGACUGGGGCGGUCUCCUCCUAAAGAGUAACGGAGGAGCACGAAGGUUGGCUAAUCCUGGUCGGACAUCAGGAGGUUAGUGCAAUGGCAUAAGCCAGCUUGACUGCGAGCGUGACGGCGCGAGCAGGUGCGAAAGCAGGUCAUAGUGAUCCGGUGGUUCUGAAUGGAAGGGCCAUCGCUCAACGGAUAAAAGGUACUCCGGGGAUAACAGGCUGAUACCGCCCAAGAGUUCAUAUCGACGGCGGUGUUUGGCACCUCGAUGUCGGCUCAUCACAUCCUGGGGCUGAAGUAGGUCCCAAGGGUAUGGCUGUUCGCCAUUUAAAGUGGUACGCGAGCUGGGUUUAGAACGUCGUGAGACAGUUCGGUCCCUAUCUGCCGUGGGCGCUGGAGAACUGAGGGGGGCUGCUCCUAGUACGAGAGGACCGGAGUGGACGCAUCACUGGUGUUCGGGUUGUCAUGCCAAUGGCACUGCCCGGUAGCUAAAUGCGGAAGAGAUAAGUGCUGAAAGCAUCUAAGCACGAAACUUGCCCCG
rnacentral:rRNA from 1 species